rnacentral:misc_RNA from 1 species
UUCUUCCUUCAAAGAUGCAGAUUUUCCAGCUGCUUCAGCUACCUGCUCCUCGUAUAACUUCACUUGGUCUUCAAGAGUCUUCAGUUUGUCAACGAGGAAUUUUACCUCAGAAUCCUUGCUCGUGAAGUUUUCUAUAGCUUCUUGAAGUUUGAGUUCCGAAUCCCUUGCCAGUGAUUCAUGUAAUGAUUCAAGUUCAGACUUACUAACAAUAGCCUGCUCUAAUAAUUUUUCUUGUGUCUCUAGUUGUUCCUCAGUAGCCUUGAGCUUUGCCAUUACUUCACUCUCUUUUAAUCCAGCAGCCUUUAGAUCAUUUUCAAUGCACUCAAACUUCUCCUGCAUCACAGUUAAUUCGUUGCGCAGGACUUCCACAAGAUUCUCGGCUUCAGCCAGCAUCUGGCUGGAACCACUGGAUGCAUCUUCUAACCUUUUCUUUUCAUCAGUUACUGAAUUCAGGCAUUCUGCCAGUUCUCUCUCCUUUUCACUGGCUGUUUGCAGUGCAACUUCAAGGUUUGAUGACCUUGCUUGGAAUGCCUCAAUCUCAGCUGAAAGUUCAGAUACUUUGUUUAUGUAUUUGUUGGACUCUGCUUCUGCACCCACGCAUUUCUUUUCUAGUGUGCUA